rnacentral:rRNA from 1 species
ACUCCUACGGGAGGCAGCAGUGGGAAUCUUAGACAAUGGGGGCAACCCUGAUCUAGCCAUGCCGCGUGAGUGAUGAAGGCCCUAGGGUUGUAAAGCUCUUUCAGUCGUGAAGAUAAUGACGGUAGCGACAGAAGAAGCCCCGGCUAACUCCGUGCUAGCAGCCGCGGUAAUACGGAGGGGCUAGCGUUGUUCGGAAUUACUGGGCGUAAAGCGCGCGUAGGCGGAUUGGAAAGUUGGGGUGAAUCCCGAGCUCAACUUGGAAUUGCACUUGUGACUGCAUAACUAGAGUGCGGCAGAGGGGGAUGGAAUUCCGCGUGUAGCAGUGAAAUGCGUAGAUAUGCGGAGGAACACCGAUGGCGAAGGCAAUCCCUGGGCCUGCACUGACGCUCAUGCACGAAAGCGUGGGGAGCAAACAGGAUUAGAUACCCUGGUAGGUCAGUC